UAACCUGCCCAAGAGACUGGGAUAACACCUGGAAACAGAUGCUAAUACCGGAUAACAACACUAGACGCAUGUCUAGAGUUUAAAAGAUGGUUCUGCUAUCACUCUUGGAUGGACCUGCGGUGCAUUAGCUAGUUGGUAAGGCAACGGCUUACCAAGGCAAUGAUGCAUAGCCGAGUUGAGAGACUGAUCGGCCACAUUGGGACUGAUACACGGUCCAAACUCCUACGGGAGGCAGCAGGG
rnacentral:rRNA from 1 species